GCCACAUGCCGGCCGGCCGCGCGGCCCGCCCUCGCCCCCCCCUUCCAUCCCGGCGGGGCAGCCACGUCGGGCCGGGCGGGCGGGGACCGG
rnacentral:miRNA from 1 species